UGACGCAGCAACGCCGCGUGGAGGAUGAAAUCCCUUGGGAUGUAAACUCCUUUCGAUCGGGAAGAUAAUGACGGUACCGAGAGAAGAAGCCCCGGCUAACUUCGUGCCAGCAGCCGCGGUAAUACGAGGGGGGCAAGCGUUGUUCGGAAUUAUUGGGCGUAAAGGGUGCGUAGGCGGUUUGAUAAGUCACAUGUGAAAUCUUCGGGCUCAACCCGAAGUCUGCAUGCGAAACUGUCGGGCUUAAGUAUGGGAGAGGUGAGUGGAAUUUCCGGUGUAGCGGUGAAAUGCGUAGAUAUCGGAAGGAACACCUGUGGCGAAAGCGGCUCACUGGACCAUAACUGACGCUGAUGCACGAAAGCUAGGGGAGCAAACAGGAUUAGAUACCCUGGUAGUCCUAGCCCUAAACGAUGAUUGCUUGAUGUGGUGGGUACCCAAUCCCGCCGUGUCGAAGCUAACGCGAUAAGCAAUCCGCCUGGGGAGUACGGUCGCAAGGCUGAAACUUAAAGGAAUUGACGG
rnacentral:rRNA from 1 species